CCUUGCUGACAGCAGCCGGCUGCCUUGAAAGCGCUUUAUCGCCCCUUAAUGCAGGUGCUGGGAGCGUCCGUGUGGGGAAAGCGCCAUCUCUGGGAGCUUUUGCUGGUGUGAGCUGUGAUGGACCCUACAGGUGGAGGACAGUCAAGUGACUAGAGCUGCAGAAGAGGAAGGGGGAGAGAGAGAGAAACAGACAGAGAAAGGAGCAUCAGAACUGGAAAAUUCUGUGGGCAGUGCUGAAAGCAGGAGCUGUCCGCAUCGCUCCGGGACCUGACCCAUUCCCUGCGGGAUCGAAGAGCUCUGCUCCAGUAACGGUUUCCAAGAUGUCCCAGGGCAGGGGAGUGCAUAGGCAUAGAGCUCCUGAGAAGACUCACUCCUGGGACGACUUAUAUGCGUGAAUGAAUAAACACUCACUGCUUUGCAUGCCCAGGGCUCUGGGUCUGGUGGUGGGGUUGCUUGAGCAAUCAAUGGGUGGGU